rnacentral:rRNA from 1 species
GACGAACGCUGGCGGCGUGCUUAACACAUGCAAGUCGAACGGAAAGGCCCUGCUUUUGUGGGGUGCUCGAGUGGCGAACGGGUGAGUAACACGUGAGUAACCUGCCCUUGACUUUGGGAUAACUUCAGGAAACUGGGGCUAAUACCGGAUAGGAGCUCCUGCUGCAUGGUGGGGGUUGGAAAGUUUCGGCGGUUGGGGAUGGACGCGCGGCUUAUCAGCUUGUUGGUGGGGUAGUGGCUUACCAAGGCAUUGACGGGUAGCCGGCCGGAGAGGGUGACCGGCUACAUUGGGACUGAGAUACGGCCCAGACUCCUACGGGAGGCAGCAGUGGGAAAUAUAGCACAAUGGGCGGAAGCCUGAUGCAGCAACGCCGCGUGCGGGAUGACGGCCUUCGGGUUGUAAACCGCUUUCGCCUGUGACGAAGCGUGAGUGACGGUAAUGGGUAAAGAAGCACCGGCUAACUACGUG